rnacentral:lncRNA from 1 species
CGGGCUGCGGGCCGUGGUGUUCCUACCGGGCCGAUGGUUCAUGCUCAACCGGGUCUUGCUGGGCCUGUUCGUGGUGUUGGCGGGCCUGCUCCGGGGAUGAUGCAGCCUCAGCUUUCUCGGCCUCCAAUGCCUCAAGUUUCUGCUCCACCUAUUAAUUACCCACCGCCGAUGAUGAGGCCACCAGGUGGUGGGCCACCACAAAUGCCGCCGCAAGGUAUGCAGAUGCAGAGGCCUGGUGGACCUCCGCCACCUAUGGCACCGCCACCACAGUUCAGGCCGGGUGGUGGUCCACCACAACAGUUUCCACCGCAGUUUGGUCAGCGGCCCAUGGUUCCUCCGCCUCCUAUGAUGAGGGGUCCACCACCACCUGGUGCUCCACCUAGACCAGGAAUGCCUGGUGGUCCUCCUGGUCAACCACCUCGCCCUGGUAUGCCACCACCACCUCCAGGUGGUCAGGUUCCUGUUUAUGGACCUCCUCGUCCUGGUAUGCCUCCACCGCCAAAUGCUCCUCCACAGAAUCAGC